rnacentral:rRNA from 1 species
GUGAGGAAUCUUGCGCAAUGGGGGAAACCCUGACGCAGCAACGCCGCGUGAGUGAGGAAGGCCUUCGGGUCGUAAAGCUCUGUCAGGUGGGAAGAAAUCGAUGAAGGUGAACAACCUCCAUCAUUGACGGUACCACCAGAGGAAGCACCGGCCAACUCCGUGCCAGCAGCCGCGGUAAUACGGGGGGUGCAAGCGUUGUUCGGAAUCAUUGGGCGUAAAGAGCGUGUAGGCGGCCAGGUAAGUCAGAUGUGAAAGCCCUGGGCUUAACCCAGGAAGUGCAUUUGAAACUGCUUGGCUAGAGUAAGGGAGAGGAAAGUGGAAUUCCUGGUGUAGAGGUGAAAUUCGUAGAUAUCAGGAGGAACACCGGUGGCGAAGGCGACUUUCUGGCCCUAUACUGACGCUCAGGCGCGAAAGCGUGGGGAGCAAACAGGAUUAGAAACCCUGGUAGUCC